UGGAGGAAGAAGGGGAAGCAAUGAAUUUUUCUGUUUGAACAUCCAGAAAAGAUAAAGAACUUAUCACCACAGAAUCCAGGCUUCACCCUUAAAUUUCCUCUCCAGGAAGCUUGCACCAUGUCUGACUCUGGCUGAACAGUCCCUGCUGCCCCCAGGGGACAGGAGCCAGGCUCAUCAGGAGAUCCAUAGGUCCUUCACCCCAA